rnacentral:rRNA from 1 species
UACAGAGGGUGCAAGCGUUAAUCGGAAUUACUGGGCGUAAAGCGUGCGUAGACGGUUACAUAAGUCGGGUGUGAAAGCCCCGGGCUCAACCUGGGAAUUGCAUUCGAGACUGCGUAGCUAGGGUGCGGAAGAGGGAAGCGGAAUUUCCGGUGUAGCGGUGAAAUGCGUAGAGAUCGGGAGGAACACCAGAGGCGAAGGCGGCGACCUGGACAGUGACUGACACUCAACUGCGAAAGCGUGGGGAGCAAACAGG